ACAUUUACUAUUUCUAUUUCCUUUGUAUUUUCUUCAGUAGCCAGUGACACCACAUUUACUAUCCUUGGCAUCAUUAAGGAGUCUUCAUUUUCUGUUCAGUGUUCAUUUUCUUGUCACCUUGACUGGAGUCCCUUCCAUUCUGAAACAGAACAUUAAAAAGGCAGUUAAACUUAGUCCUGCAGAGAAGCUCCAGUCAGCUUGACAGAACUGCACUCUCCUUGCCAAUUGGUAUUCUUUACCUGGAGGGAUACAACAAGAUGGACAGUGGAGUUUGGAACGUUUUUCAGCUCUGGAAACUGAACUACUGUAGUUAGCCUAAUACCGCAAAACAAAACUCAUCUGUGCCAUACACUCCAUACACUCCAAUUUCUGACUGAGUCAUGAAAAUAUUUACACACUUUUUAACCACAGAGGAAGUUACAUUCUCAACAACAGAAUUUUUGCAAGAAGUUCAAAUUCUGUGAGAAGUUAAGUUUGGAUGGUAAAACUGGAGAAAUUAGUAUAAAGAGAAGUUAAGGAAAGGAAAGGCAAACAGUAGAAAAUUUACGCACACACCUUGGACCCAAAGAUCCAAGGCAAGUGACAGCAGCAAUCUCAACUGGUCACAGUGGUUUCCAUGGUUCGCAAAUAAAUUGUGUUAUAGUAAAAACAUUUUGCUGCCAGAUUUGUUUUACAAAUU